UACAGAGGGGGCAAGCGUUGUUCGGAAUUACUGGGCGUAAAGGGCGCGUAGGCGGCCUUCUAAGUCGAACGUGAAAUCCCCGGGCUCAACCCGGGAACUGCGUCCGAUACUGGAAGGCUUGAAUCCGGGAGAGGGAUGUGGAAUUCCAGGUGUAGCGGUGAAAUGCGUAGAUAUCUGGAGGAACACCGGGUGGCGAAGGCGACAUCCUGGACCGGUAUUGACGCGUG
rnacentral:rRNA from 1 species